CGGGGAAUAUAAGUCCGCCUCCCAAGACUACUCAAUCCCUGCUCUAUGUCCUGCUGCUGACCUUAGCGAGACAAUGGGAGUGCGUCUCAUUUGAAUAGAAAGGCUUUACCUCUCUUGUUGGACGGGACUAAAAAGUCUUUUUCAAAAGAAAAGUCUUCCGACUGAACAAAGGGAGCAGGCUGGAUACUAAAAGAAUUCGAUACAGCGGGGGGGUUCCCCUAUUUGAUAAUACUUUUUUCAAAUGCUGACAUGACAGGGGAAAGAGGCGAAGUGGCUUUUGAUAAUUAGCGCUUUUUAUUCUGUGCUAGCGACCCUGUUU
rnacentral:lncRNA from 1 species